rnacentral:rRNA from 1 species
UACGUAGGGUGCGAGCGUUGUCCGGAAUUACUGGGCGUAAAGAGCUCGUAGGUGGUUUGUCGCGUUGUCCGUGAAAACUCACAACUCAAUUGUGGGCGUGCGGGCGAUACGGGCAGACUGGAGUACUGCAGGGGAGACUGGAAUUCCUGGUGUAGCGGUGGAAUGCGCAGAUAUCAGGAGGAACACCGGUGGCGAAGGCGGGUCUCUGGGCAGUACUGACGC